rnacentral:rRNA from 1 species
AACGUCCCAGUUCGGAUUGUAGUCUACAACCCGACUACAUGAAGCCGGAAUCGCUAGUAAUCGCGGAUCAGAAUGCCGCGGUGAAUACGUUCCCGGGUCUUGUACACACCGCCCGUCACACCAUGGGAGUUGGAAAUGCCCGAAGUCAGUGGCCCAACCGGAAGGGGGGAGCUGCCGAAGGCAGGUUCGAUGACUGGGGUGAAGUCGUAACAAGGUAAC